GACGAACGCUGGCGGCGUGCUUAACACAUGCAAGUCGAACGAUGAAGCUAGAGCUUGCUCUGGUGGAUUAGUGGCGAACGGGUGAGUAACACGUGAGUAACCUGCCCCGAACUCUGGGAUAACUGCUGGAAACGGUAGCUAAUACCGGAUAUGACCAAUGAAGGCAUCUUCUGUUGGUGGAAAGAAUUUCGGUUCGGGAUGGACUCGCGGCCUAUCAGCUUGUUGGUGAGGUAACGGCUCACCAAGGCGACGACGGGUAGCCGGCCUGAGAGGGUGAUCGGCCUCACUGGGACUGAGACACGGCCCAGACCCCUACGGGAGGCAGCAGUGGGGAAUAUUGCACAAUGGGCGCAAGCCUGAUGCAGCAACGCCGCGUGAGGGACGACGGCCUUCGGGUUGUAAACCUCUUUUAGUAGGGAAGAAGCGAAAGUGACGGUACCUGCAGAAAAAGCACCGGCUAACUACGUGCCAGCCGCCGCCGUAA
rnacentral:rRNA from 1 species